AUGCAACGUCACCACCCAAUCGCCUUCCUGAGCCAAGCGCUAGGCCCUCGACAUCAUGUUUUAUCUACCCACGAGAAGGAAUGUCUUGCCAUCCUCCUGGCAAUGGAGCGAUGGUGACCUUACCUGCUGCAGUCUGAGUUCACCAUCCGCACAGACAAUCGCAACCUUGCUUGUCUCAAUGAGCAACGACUGACGACGCCUUGGCAACACAAGGCACUGUCGAAACUGUUGGGGCUGCAAUACAUAAUUGAGUACCGCAAAGGGCAACAAACCUAG
rnacentral:rRNA from 1 species